ensembl:lncRNA
GGCCAUGAGAGAACUUUGCAGAGAGCUUUUGAACAGAAAGCAUUGAGAAGGCAUUUGUGAGCAACCCUUACCUGUUGUGAGGUGGAGGGGAAGCUGUGUAUAGCUGUGUGGACACCUUGUGCCUUGUUAUGUGUGCUCUGCUGAACUGUGAUAAGUAAUAAUGGUGCUUAGUUAGAAUCUGGACUAUAGUUAACCUAUGCGUAGUGAAGUGUGCCUAGUGUGAGUCUGCAUAGUGAAUUGUGUCUCGUUUAAGUCUGCGUAGUGAAUUGUACCUAAUAUUGGUCUGCAUAGUGAAUUGUGCCUAGUUUAAGUCUGCGUGGUUAAUUGUGCAUAGUCUAUUUCUGCUAAGGGAAUUGUGCCAAGCUCCAUUCUGCAAAGGAAGUUGUGCCUAGUUAAAUGUAGCACUGUGAGUGCUUGGUGAAUGUGAUUUUAUGUUUGUUUAUUUUGUGUGCAAUGGUUUGGGGUUGAUGUAGAGAAUUCCCCCGGUUAAUAAAAGAGAAGAAUAUUUUUAUAUGAAGGCCACCAUCUCCUGCACCCUUCCCAACAACACCACCCAGUCCAGUCGCAACCUCCCAAAACAACGUGGGGUGACCGCCCGGUCCCUCACAGCUGGCCUCAACUUGGAAGAUGCAGAAUUAUUUGGACUGGCCAUAGGUGAAGGUCUCACAAGUCACGACCAACAGUUGCAUGGAGCUAUAAUCACGCAGCAAUAUGUUGGAUCUACAACAUCCAAUUUAUAUUAUCCUAUCGACGGUGCCGUGCCUACAGCCCAUUUGUAUAGUUAUAACAGUGGACCCGAUACAAACUCAUCAUUAACCGCGUUGGAAGAUCUCACAGAUGAUGUGGGCGAACCUGGGUCCUACAUGGACCAGCUAUUGAGUGUUAAACAACCAUCGCGUUUGUCCAUGAAGAGACGGUCAGCGGAACCAGUCACCAUUGAGCCCAGCAAGAAGGCUAACACACCCAUUGUGUCUGACGAGCUGGUGCCGGAAAUCCAACUACCUACGGUGGUUUGUGGGAGUAGCGACAUCGUGGAAUUGACAGACCAGCUGACGAGUAUCUGCGCGUGGACAGACAAUGAGAUAACUAACUGGGAUCAAGCGGACUUCAACUGGGACAGUGGCUCGCUCACAGCUGAAGCAGCAAGGGGCGAGAACGAUCAGCAAAGACGUGACGGGUUGGUCAACAACGAUUGUGACGGAGCAGUGGCUACGCCUGCAACAGGGACACACGUCAGCGUACUACAGACAACUACAAACGACAAUUCUGGACUGAUAUCGCAACUAAACUCAAACAGCGGAUCGCAACACCAACAGACACAGACCCCAGUGGCUGAUCAGAGGUAUGGGCAAGGCCUUAUUCAAAAUGGUGAUGUGGUGGGUGCAGUAGGUGUAGCUAGUACAAGGCGUUUGGAUAGACAGCUAGCAUCACGUGUGAGGUAUCUAAUGCAUGAAACACGUAGUAUAAAGACAGAUGUGAAUGAGACAAAGGGGAUAAAAGCUAUAGUGGUAGGAAUGCGUUGUGGUAUGAGAGCGUUACAUUCAACAGUGGCGACAUUGGCUGGUGAAUUCACAGGUUUUAACUCUGUAAUGGUUAAGGAAUUGCAUAGUGUCAAUGCUAAAGUGGAUGCCCAGGGCUUAACGUUGAAUAGGUUAGUCUCUGCUAACAGAGAAGUAAACAAUCUUAGCACCGUAGACUAGGCUGCUCUGCAUCAGUGUUUAAAAGCUUUGAAAACGACAUUGAGAUGUUGAGGUGGUGUCUGUUUGGCAUUGUAUUUGGUUUAUGUAUUUUUUUCCACAGCUUUUAUGUAAUGUUACAGUGUGUUUGGCUCUUUUUUUCCACAGGUAAUGUGUAAUAUGGCAGUGUUUGGGUCUAUGUUUUCCUCCACAGAUUGUGUAAUAUUGUAGGGU